ACCCCAAACCGACACAGGUGGUCAGGUAGAGAAUACCAAGGCGCUUGAGAGAACUCGGGUGAAGGAACUAGGCAAAAUGGUGCCGUAACUUCGGGAGAAGGCACGCUGAUAUGUAGGUGAGGUCCCUUGCGGAUGGAGCUGAAAUCAGUCGAAGAUACCAGCUGGCUGCAACUGUUUAUUAAAAACACAGCACUGUGCAAACACGAAAGUGGACGUAUACGGUGUGACGCCUGCCCGGUGCCGGAAGG
rnacentral:rRNA from 1 species